rnacentral:rRNA from 1 species
GUAGGGCGGGACACGUGGUAUCCUGUCUGAAUAUGGGGGGACCAUCCUCCAAGGCUAAAUACUCCUGACUGACCGAUAGUGAACCAGUACCGUGAGGGAAAGGCGAAAAGAACCCCGGCGAGGGGAGUGAAAAAGAACCUGAAACCGUGUACGUACAAGCAGUGGGAGCCUCUUUAUGGGGUGACUGCGUACCUUUUGUAUAAUGGGUCAGCGACUUAUAUUCUGUAGCAAGGUUAACCGAAUAGGGGAGCCGAAGGGAAACCGAGUCUUAACUGGGCGUUAAGUUGCAGGGUAUAGACCCGAAACCCGGUGAUCUAGCCAUGGGCAGGUUGAAGGUUGGGUAACACUAACUGGAGGACCGAACCGACUAAUGUUGAAAAAUUAGCGGAUGACUUGUGGCUGGGGGUGAAAGGCCAAUCAAACCGGGAGAUAGCUGGUUCUCCCCGAAAGCUAUUUAGGUAGCGCCUCGUGAAUUCAUCUCCGGGGGUAGAGCACUGUUUCGGCAAGGGGGUCAUCCCGACUUACCAACCCGAUGCAAACUGCGAAUACCGGAGAAUGUUAUCACGGGAGACACACGGCGGGUGCUAACGUCCGUCGUGAAGAGGGAAACAACCCAGACCGCCAGCUAAGGUCCCAAAGUCAUGGUUAAGUGGGAAACGAUGUGGGAAGGCCCAGACAGCCAGGAUGUUGGCUUAGAAGCAGCCAUCAUUUAAAGAAAGCGUAAUAGCUCACUGGUCGAGUCGGCCUGCGCGGAAGAUGUAACGGGGCUAAACCAUGCACCGAAGCUGCGGCAGCGACACUAUGUGUUGUUGGGUAGGGGAGCGUUCUGUAAGCCUGUGAAGGUGGCCUGUGAGGGUUGCUGGAGGUAUCAGAAGUGCGAAUGCUGACAUAAGUAACGAUAAAGCGGGUGAAAAGCCCGCUCGCCGGAAGACCAAGGGUUCCUGUCCAACGUUAAUCGGGGCAGGGUGAGUCGACCCCUAAGGCGAGGCCGAAAGGCGUAGUCGAUGGGAAACAGGUUAAUAUUCCUGUACUUGGUGUUACUGCGAAGGGGGGACGGAGAAGGCUAUGUUGGCCGGGCGACGGUUGUCCCGGUUUAAGCGUGUAGGCUGGUUUUCCAGGCAAAUCCGGAAAACCAAGGCUGAGGCGUGAUGACGAGGCACUACGGUGCUGAAGCGACAAAUGCCCUGCUUCCAGGAAAAGCCUCUAAGCAUCAGGUAACAUCAAAUCGUACCCCAAACCGACACAGGUGGUCAGGUAGAGAAUACCAAGGCGCUUGAGAGAACUCGGGUGAAGGAACUAGGCAAAAUGGUGCCGUAACUUCGGGAGAAGGCACGCUGAUAUGUAGGUGAAGCGACUUGCUCGUGGAGCUGAAAUCAGUCGAAGAUACCAGCUGGCUGCAACUGUUUAUUAAAAACACAGCACUGUGCAAACACGAAAGUGGACGUAUACGGUGUGACGCCUGCCCGGUGCCGGAAGGUUAAUUGAUGGGGUUAGCGGUAACGCGAAGCUCUUGAUCGAAGCCCCGGUAAACGGCGGCCGUAACUAUAACGGUCCUAAGGUAGCGAAAUUCCUUGUCGGGUAAGUUCCGACCUGCACGAAUGGCGUAAUGAUGGCCAGGCUGUCUCCACCCGAGACUCAGUGAAAUUGAACUCGCUGUGAAGAUGCAGUGUACCCGCGGCAAGACGGAAAGACCCCGUGAACCUUUACUAUAGCUUGACACUGAACAUUGAGCCUUGAUGUGUAGGAUAGGUGGGAGGCUUUGAAGUGUGGACGCCAGUCUGCAUGGAGCCGACCUUGAAAUACCACCCUUUAAUGUUUGAUGUUCUAACGUUGGCCCGUAAUCCGGGUUGCGGACAGUGUCUGGUGGGUAGUUUGACUGGGGCGGUCUCCUCCUAAAGAGUAACGGAGGAGCACGAAGGUUGGCUAAUCCUGGUCGGACAUCAGGAGGUUAGUGCAAUGGCAUAAGCCAGCUUGACUGCGAGCGUGACGGCGCGAGCAGGUGCGAAAGCAGGUCAUAGUGAUCCGGUGGUUCUGAAUGGAAGGGCCAUCGCUCAACGGAUAAAAGGUACUCCGGGGAUAACAGGCUGAUACCGCCCAAGAGUUCAUAUCGACGGCGGUGUUUGGCACCUCGAUGUCGGCUCAUCACAUCCUGGGGCUGAAGUAGGUCCCAAGGGUAUGGCUGUUCGCCAUUUAAAGUGGUACGCGAGCUGGGUUUAGAACGUCGUGAGACAGUUCGGUCCCUAUCUGCCGUGGGCGCUGGAGAACUGAGGGGGGCUGCUCCUAGUACGAGAGGACCGGAGUGGACGCAUCACUGGUGUUCGGGUUGUCAUGCCAAU